UACGAACUGUGCGAACGUUUAUUCGGAAUCACUGGGCUUACAGGGUGCGUAGGCGGCUUGUUAAGUAGGGUGUGAAAGCCCCCGCUCAACCGGGGAAUUGCGCCCUAAACUGGCGAGCUGGAGUGAGAUAGGGGUGUGUGGAACUUCCGGUGGAGCGGUGAAAUGUGUUGAUAUCGGAAGGAACGCCGGUGGCGAAAGCGACACACUGGAUCUUGUCUGACGCUGAGGCACGAAAGCCAGGGGAGCGAACGGG
rnacentral:rRNA from 1 species